rnacentral:rRNA from 1 species
GCGGACCCCAGGUCAGGCGGGGAUCACCCGCUG